rnacentral:rRNA from 1 species
AGUGAACGCUGGCGGUAGGCCUAACACAUGCAAGUCGAACGGCAGCACAGUAAGAGCUUGCUCUUACGGGUGGCGAGUGGAGGACGGGUGAGGAAUACAUCGGAAUCUACUUUUUCGUGGGGGAUAACGUAGGGAAACUUACGCUAAUACCGCAUACGACCUACGGGUGAAAGCAGGGGAUCUUCGGACCUUGCGCGACUGAAUGAGCCGAUGUCGGAUUAGCUAGUUGGCGGGGUAAAGGCCCACCAAGGCGACGAUCCGUAGCUGGUCUGAGAGGAUGAUCAGCCACACUGGAACUGAGACACGGUCCAGACUCCUACGGGAGGCAGCAGUGGGGAAUAUUGGACAAUGGGCGCAAGCCUGAUCCAGCCAUACCGCGUGGGUGAAGAAGGCCUUCGGGUUGUAAAGCCCUUUUGUUGGGAAAGAAAAGCAGCAGGUUAAUACCCCGCUGUUCUGACGGUACCCAAAGAAUAAGCACCGGCUAACUUCGUG